rnacentral:rRNA from 1 species
GACGAACGCUGGCGGCGUGCUUAACACAUGCAAGUCGUGCGGUAACAGGCGUAGCAAUACGUGCUGACGAGCGGCGAACGGGUGCGUAAUACAUGGGAAUCUGCCUUUUAGUGGGGAAUAACCCGGCGAAAGCCGGGCUAAUGCCGCAUAAGAUCUUCGGAUGAAAGCGGGGGAUCGUAAGACCUCGCGCUGAUGGAUGAGCCCAUGCCGGAUUAGCUAGUUGGNGAGGUAACGGCUCACCAAGGCGACGAUCCGUAGCUGGUCUGAGAGGACGGCCAGCCACACUGGGACUGAGACACGGCCCAGACUCCUACGGGAGGCAGCAGUGGGGAAUAUUGGACAAUGGGCGAAAGCCUGAUCCAGCGAUGCCGCGUGUGUGAAGAAGGCCUGCGGGUUGUAAAGCACUUUCAG